rnacentral:rRNA from 1 species
GUACGCUGGCGGCACGCCUACACAUGCAAGUNNAACGAAGUAGCAAUACUUAGUGGCAGACGGGUGAGUAACAUGUAGGUAUCUACCCUUUGGCCUGGAAUAACACGAGGAAACUUGUGCUAAUACCGGAUAAGUCUUUACGGAGAAAGCUUUAUGCACCAUUGGAUGAGCCUGCACUAGAUUAGUUUGUUGGUGGGGUAAUGGCCUACCAAGACUGUGAUCUAUAGCUGAUUUGAGAGGAUGAUCAGCCACAUUGGGACUGAGACACGGCCCAAACUCCUACGGGAGGCAGCAGUGGGGAAUCUUGCACAAUGGAGGAAACUCUGAUGCAGCGAUGCCGCGUGAGUGAAGAAGGCCUUUGGGUUGUAAAGCUCUUUCGUCGGGGAAGAAAAUGACUGUACCCGAAUAAGAAGGUCCGGCUAACUUCGUGCCAGCAGCCGCGGUAAUACGAAGGGACCUAGCGUAGUUCGGAUUUACUGGGCUUAAAGAGUUCGUAGGUGGUUGAAAAAGUUGGUGGUGAAAUCCCAGAGCUUAACUCUGGAACUGCCAUCAAAACUUUUCAGCUAGAGUAUGAUAGAGGAAAGCAGAAUUUCUAGUGUAGUGGUGAAAUUCGUAGAUAUUAGAAAGAAUACCAAUUGCGAAGGCAGCUUUCUGGAUCAUUACUGACACUGAGGAACGAAAGCAUGGGUAGCGAAGAGGAUUAGAUACCCUCGUAGUCCAUGCCGUAAACGAUGUGUGUUAGACGUUGGAAAUUUAUUUUCAGUGUCGCAGCGAAAGCGAUAAACACACCGCCUGGGGGAGUACGACCGCAGGUUAAAACUCAAAUGAAUUGACGGGGACCCGCACAAGUAGUGGAGCAUGUGGUUUAAUUCGA